rnacentral:rRNA from 1 species
GAUGAACGCUGGCGGCGUGCCUAAUACAUGCAAGUCGAGCGAACGGACGAGAAGUUUGCUUCUUUGAUGUUAGCGGCGGACGGGUGAGUAACACGUGGAUAACCUACCUAUAAGACUGGGAUAAUUUCGGGAAACCGGAGCUAAUACCGGAUAAUAUUUUGAACCGCAUGGUUCAAAAGUGAAAGUCGGUCUUGCUGUCUCUUAUAGAUGGAUCCGCGCUGCAUUAGCUAGUUGGUAAGGUAACGGCUUACCAAGGCAACGAUGCAUAGCCGACCUGAGAGGGUGAUCGGCCACACUGGAACUGAGACACGGUCCAGACUCCUACGGGAGGCAGCAGUAGGGAACCUUCCGCAAUGGGCGAAAGCCUGACGGAGCAACGCCGCGUGUGUGAUGAAGGUCUUCGGAUCGUAAAACUCUGUUAUUAGGGAAGAACAUAUGUGUAAGUAACUGUGCACAUCUUGACGGUACCUAAUCAGAAAGCCACGGCUAACUACGUG